ACAACUGCGCCGGAACCCCGGAGAAACCCUAGCAAGGUCGGUUGUUCCUCCCUGGCGCGGCGCAUCAUCCGCGACGAGACGAGCGAUGGCAGGGUACCACAGCCGAAGCCGGAGCCGGAGCUACAGCCCCCAGCACCGGCGGUACAGCCGGAGCCCGCCUCGUCGCAAGCGCUAUGACGACCCUCGCGACCGUUACCGCGGGAGUGGUGGCGGAAGAUUCGGAGCCCGACGAGGGUACGGCCGGCCGGCCGCGCCGUCCGGUCUCCUCGUCCGCAACAUCUCCCUCACGGCCAGGCCAGAAGAUCUUCGUGUUCCAUUCGAGCAAUUUGGCCCUGUAAAAGACAUCUACCUUCCAAGGAACUUCCACACCAGGGAAUUACGUGGUUUUGGGUUUGUGAAAUUCCGCUACCCUGAGGAUGCUGCAGUGGCCAAGCAAGAAAUGAAUCAUAAAGUCAUUGGCGGUCGAGAGAUUUCUAUAGUUUAUGCUGAGGAGAAUAGGAAAACACCACAAGAAAUGAGCACAAGAACAAGAACAAGUGGUAGGUACAUGGAUGGGAGCUACACUAGGCCGUCACUAUCAAGAUCCCCGAGGUCCCGUUACCACUUUUCCUGGCAGCCUAUUCACCCUCACCUUCUCCAGUUAGGCGUGACUUCAGUCAACAAAGAAUCUAGAGUCUAAAAGACCAAAAGAGAACCAUGAUGUUUGGAGAAUAAAGACCAAAGUGAAAGUAUCAUGACCUCCAGAGUUGGAGAAUGUGAAAGGCAUUACUGUUAAAGAUAAAGUGGUACUGUCACUCAAGAGUUUAAAGAUAAUCUUGGCUAAGAAACCUGGGGGAAAGAUUAUUUUUCAAGUGAGCUGAUUAUGUUGAGCCAGCAGUGGCAACACCUUAAUGCAUUGCACAUUGCAUGUUUGGAUCAAAUUGGGUAGCUUUGUUGAGAUGGGACAGGUAAAAUUGAUAUCUUGCAUUUCAAUUCAGCUGGCUUGAAGGUAAAAGUGGGUGCUGUACUGCACUACUACUGCUAUAGCUGCUGUUGACAAGGGCAGGGAUUGCCGUGACAAUUAUUCACCUGGGGAGUCGUACUCUCCGCAUCCUCGCGACAAAAGGUACUACAUGUCAAAUAGUCGAUCUCUGAGCCUGGAUGGACCUGACCGUCAGUUAUCGCCAUCCAAUAGCAGAC